GCGGUAGCUCAGUGGCAGAGUAUUUGCCUUGCACGCAGGCGGCCACAGGUUCAAUCUCCGGCGUCUCCA